rfam:Ictidomys tridecemlineatus contig066431, whole genome shotgun sequence.
GGGGAUGUGGCUCAAGUGGUAGCGCGCUCGCCUGACAUGCGUGCAGCCUGGGUUCGAUCCUCAGCCCCA